rfam:Leptospirillum ferrooxidans C2-3 DNA, complete genome.
UGCAAGGUGGACUGAUUUGAGGUCUGUUGCAACCACCUAAAAAAAGUGCUAAAAGUCCAGGU